rnacentral:tRNA from 1 species
UCCCCGAUAGUCUAGUGGUGAGGAUAUCUGCUUGUCAUCGGGGAAUUAUUCCCUGACAACGAUUCGCAGGGGACCGGGGUUCAAUUCCCCGUCGAGGAG